rnacentral:rRNA from 1 species
GAGUUUGAUCCUGGCUCAGAACGAACGCUGGCGGCAUGCCUAACACAUGCAAGUCGAACGGGAUCCUGGCUUCGGUCAGGUGAGAGUGGCGGACGGGUGAGUAACGCGUGGGAACCUGCCCAGUGGUGGGGGAUAACUGCGGGAAACUGCAGCUAAUACCGCAUGAGCCCGAGAGGGGAAAGAUUUAUCGCCAUUGGAGGGGCCCGCGUUCGAUUAGGUAGUUGGUGAGGUAAAGGCCCACCAAGGCGACGAUCAGUAGCUGGUCUGAGAGGACGAUCAGCCACACUGGGACUGAGACACGGCCCAGACUCCUACGGGAGGCAGCAGUGGGGAAUUUUGGACAAUGGGGGCAACCCUGAUCCAGCAAUGCCGCGUGUGUGAAGAAGGCCUCGGUUGUAAG